GGGAGCGAUUAUACCGGCACUAAUGCACUGGAUCCCAUCAAAACUCUGCAGUGAAGCGUGCUUGGGCGAGAGUAGUACUAGAAUGGGUGACCUCCUGGGAAGUCCUUUUGUUGCAUCCC
rfam:Macleaya cordata isolate BLH2017 scaffold7679, whole genome shotgun sequence.